rnacentral:rRNA from 1 species
GAUGAACGCUGGCGGCGUGCCUAAUACAUGCAAGUCGAACGAACAGACGAUGAGCUUGCUCCUCUGACGUUAGCGGCGGACGGGUGAGUAACACGUGUAUAACCUACCUAUAAUACUGGUAUAAUUUCGGGAAACCGGAGCUAAUACCGGAUAAUAUAUUGAACCGCAUGGUGCAAUAGUGAAAUACGGUUUUGCUGUCACUUAUAGAUGGAUCCGCGCCGCAUUAGAUAGUUGGUAAGGUAACGGCUUACCAAGGCAACGAUGCGUAAACGAACUGUGGGGGUGAUCGGCGACACUGGAACUGAGACACGGUCCAGACUCCUACGGGAGGCAGCAGUAGGGUAUGUUCCGCAAUGGGCGAGAGUUUGACGGAGCAAGGCCGAGUGAGUGAUGACGGCCCUGGGAUCGUAAAAACCUGUUACUAGGGAAAAACAAAUGUGUACGUAAAUAUGCACGUAUUGACGGUAACUAAUCAGAAAGCAACGGCUAACUACGUG